UAGAUUUGAAAUUUGUUCAAACUCAUGAAUCAAGGGGAGUAGAGAGGUAAGGUGUACUUUACCUUUGUGUGAUGCUUUGCGGGUCAGACGACUCCCCCACACUUAUUCUUGUACAUGCAUUUUAUUUUGGGACAAAACAAAACAAAAAGGAACCUAGGAAGAUAAGGGUUUGUCUAGCCUAUUUGUUAUGAGAGUUGAU
rnacentral:lncRNA from 1 species